rnacentral:lncRNA from 1 species
CAGUGGCACGACCCUCAUGGACUUCAUCAUUCAGCCAAGAAGCAGGCACAACAUGAUAAAAUUAAGGCACAAGUUACUUAACAAGCUGAUGUUUCAGUGGCGUGUACUGAAUAUUAUCAGACCAGAUACUCCUGCUGUUGCAGAGAACUUACAGAGGUGAGAUGUCAGGCAUCCCCAGGCUGGUUAGGCUGGGUGGGCCUGGCUUUCUGAUGGCUGUGAGCAUGGGGGGAUUCUCAGGAGACUUCUUAAGCAGCAUCUGUUAUAUGCAUGGGCCCUUUCUCUAUGCCUGACCUACAAACUUCUGUCGCCCCUUUUGUCUUCACAGCAAUUUCACGUGCUCAAUGGUGGCUGAAAAAUACAAAAGCCAUCUUAUCCCAUGUGAGAUGGAGUAAGCUAUGUGAGAUGCCUUCAGGAGGUGCAUUGGUCUUUCUCCAGUUGGCCACAAGACCACAGACCUGAAAUUACAUUAUAUUAGUCCAGUUUAUAUCCAUGAUAUCCUACUGUAAACUCAUAACUGUUUCUACUGUUGUAAUUAGUCAAUCUUUUCUGCUGAUGCUACGGGUAAACCCAGUGGUGCUAUUCAUGCAGCUGUCCCACAGCAACUUGACUGAUUAAAUGUGAAAUACUAUAAAGCACAGGGGUUUAUGUAGGAGUGUGGAUGUUUCAGGUUUGGGGAUGAGCACAGAGAGAUAGGAUUUAUUUAUUUAUUUUCCACCACCCAGCUGAACUGAAAAGGAAAUGGACAGGAAGAAAGAACCUUUUGAGCUCAUUUUGAAACAUUUUGUUUGAACUGAAAUUAAAUGUUCCAUGAAUUUGAGGGGAUUAACACAAUUAUUUUUUAUGGUCAAUUUUCAAUUCAAAAUGCCAUUCUCCAAAUCAAAUAGCAAAAUGUUUUGCUUGGCAAAUCUGAUUGGAGCACUUUGCUAGACACGGUUUUCCACAUUUUUGAGGCCAAAGAUAUUUGCUGAAUUUGACCAGUGCCAGUAGAUUUAGUUUCUCUAAUCUUUAUUUUCCAAUAAAUAUUCUAGUUUGCUGAAAUAUUGUAAGAAC